rnacentral:rRNA from 1 species
AUUGAACGCUGGCGGCAUGCCUUACACAUGCAAGUCGAACGGUAACAGGUCUUCGGAUGCUGACGAGUGGCGAACGGGUGAGUAAUACAUCGGAACGUGCCCGAUCGUGGGGGAUAACGGAGCGAAAGCUUUGCUAAUACCGCAUAAGAUCUACGGAUGAAAGCAGGGGACCGCAAGGCCUUGCGCGAACGGAGCGGCCGAUGGCAGAUUAGGUAGUUGGUGGGAUAAAAGCUUACCAAGCCGACGAUCUGUAGCUGGUCUGAGAGGACGACCAGCCACACUGGGACUGAGACACGGCCCAGACUCCUACGGGAGGCAGCAGUGGGGAAUUUUGGACAAUGGGCGAAAGCCUGAUCCAGCCAUGCCGCGUGCAGGAUGAAGGCCUUCGGGUUGUAAACUGCUUUUGUACGGAACGAAAAGACUCUUUCUAAUAAAGAGGGUCCAUGACGGUACCGUAAGAAUAAGCACCGGCUAACUACGUGCCAGCCGCCGCUGUAAAAC